GCACUUGUAGUUCAGUGGAUAGAACGUUCGACUCCGACUCGAAAGGUCGCUGGUUCAACUCCAGCCAAGUGCGCCA
rnacentral:tRNA from 2 species